rnacentral:ncRNA from 1 species
UAACCGUAGUAAUUCUAGAGCUAAUACGUGCAACAAACCCCGACUUUUGGGAGGGGCGCAUUUAUUAGAUAAAAGGCUGACGUGGGCUCUGCUCGCUGAUCCGAUGAUUCAUGAUAACUCGACGGAUCGACUGGCCUUUGUGCCGGCGACGCAUCAUUCAAAUUUCUGCCCUAUCAACUUUCGAUGGUAGGAUAGGGGCCUACCAUGGUGGUGACGGGUGACGGAGAAUUAGGGUUCGAUUC